UUUGGAGUUUGAUUCUGGGUUCAGGACGGAACGCUGGGGGCCAUGCCUAAUACAUGCAAGUCGAACGCUGAAGCACUUUGCUUGCAGAAGUGCGGAUGAGUGGCGAACGGGUGAGUAACACGUGGGGAAUCUGCCUAGGAGUGGGGGAUAACAUUCGGAAACGGAUGCUAAUACCGCAUAUCUUCUUAGACCGCAUGGUCUAUGAAUGAAAGACGGCUUUGCUGUCGCUCUUAGAUGAUCCCGCGGCGUAUUAGUUAGUUGGUGGGGUAAAGGCCUACCAAGACAAUGAUACGUAGCCGACCUGAGAGGGUGAUCGGCCACACUGGGACUGAGACACGGCCCAGACUCCUACGGGAGGCAGCAGUAGGGAAUCUUCCACAAUGGGUGCAAACCUGAUGGAGCAAUGCCGCGUGAAUGAAGAAGGUCUUCGGAUCGUAAAGUUCUGUUAUUAGUGAAGAACAAAUCGAGGAGUAACUGUCUCGAUUUUGACGGUAACUAACCAGAAAGUCACGGCUAACUACGUGCCAGCAGCCGCGGUAAUACGUAGGUGACAAGCGUUGUCCGGAAUUAUUGGGCGUAAAGGGAGCGCAGGCGGUUGGAAUAGUCUGAUGUGAAAGCCCACGGCUUAACCGUGGAAGGUCAUUGGAAACUGUCCAACUUGAAUGCAGAAGAGGUAAGUGGAAUUCCAUGUGUAGCGGUGAAAUGCGUAGAUAUAUGGAGGAACACCAGUGGCGAAGGCGACUUACUGGUCUGUGAUUGACGCUGAGGCUCGAAAGCGUGGGUAGCGAACAGGAUUAGAUACCCUGGUAGUCCACGCCGUAAACGAUGAGUGCUAAGUGUUGGAGGGUUUCCGCCCUUCAGUGCUGGAGUUAACGCAUUAA
rnacentral:rRNA from 1 species